AGCAAAGGGCCUUUAUUAUUUUUUUAGCAAGUUGGUAAUUAUGGUGGAUAUGUUUUGAAAUAAAACUGUUCCAAAUGCUAUUGGUUCACAUUCAUAACAUUAAAUGUUGGGAAAAAAAUUGUUUACAAAACGAAAUGGUUUGAAUAUCUUACCAGAUUAAUUUCGUAGUUAAACUUUUGGCUUAAAAAUGCCCUUAUAUCAAUGUUUUUUGCCAUAUUUUAAAAUGGAUCAAGGUUUUGACAAAAGUUUUGUUGCGUUAAGCUAAAAUUUGUUAAUCGGAAGAAGCAAAAGUGAAUGGCGUGGUGCCAGUAAAAUGGUAUUUAUAUGAUCUAGUCUCAUUUAAGUUAGUCGCGGGCGAAAAAUAUAACCUGUAAACAAUUUCUCUCUAUAUUUACUUGUUCAAGUGCCAGUGAAAUGAACGAAAGAAAAAAAGAAGCAUUCAAACUGUUCGCAAUGUUUUUGGUUUGGAUACAAAAAAUCAAGUGAAAAUGAUACUGAAAAAAUGCAAUGAAAAAGCUUGAUAUUGCAUGGCAAAAAGUGAAAAGCUCCACUAUCGUUAAUUGUUUUGCAAAAUCAGUAAUUUUGGAAUACCAACAAAAACUGCUUAUUUGAAUAAAGACGACGACUGACUUAAAGAGCUUCAAAAUCAGGUAGAAAAAUUUGAUGGCCUUUUCCCAUAAGGUACAACAGCUGAAGAUGCCAUUUCUGCAGAUGAAAACUUAAUGAGCACAGUACCUUUACAACGUUUAUUUCUAAAAAAAGUCCUCUAUAUCUAGAACUUUUUCAGGGCCGACAACGCCGGUGGGAGCCCCCCGGCCCACAGCGGCAUUAAUGGCCGUUAUUGAUAUUCGGGAAGCACUACAAUUUUUUAAUGACUGCCCUUCAGUCGUAACGGUGAAAACUUUUAUCAAAAGCUCAAUUCAGUCUCAAUUAUAUUCGAUAAAGACGUUUCUUAAAAAAUAAGACCGAGUGACGCGAUAAAAAUACAUUGACCAAAGACUUUUUGCACGCUCGUGUAUUUAUUAAAUCAAGUUUUAAGAAGGGUAUAUUUUUUCUAUAUUGUAUA